UUCGAUGAUACGCGAGGAACCUUACCUGGGCUCGAACGUAAGAUGACUGUAGGUGAAAGCUUACAUCUCUUCGGAGCAUUUUACGAGGUGCUGCAUGGUUGUCGUCAGCUCGUGCCGUGAGGUGUCGGGUUAAGUCCCAUAACGAGCGCAACCCUACCUUUAGUUGCCAUCAGGUAAUGCUGGGGACUCUAAAGGAACUGCCUACGCAAGUAGUGAGGAAGCGGGGAUGACGUCAAAUCAGCACGGCCCUUACGUCCAGGGCUACACACGUGCUACAAUGGCCGAUACAGAGGGCAGCUACCUGGUGACAGGAUGCAAAUCUCCAAAGUCGGUCUCAGUUCGGAUCGGAGUCUGCAACCCGACUCCGUGAAGUUGGAUUCGCUAGUAAUCGCGCAUCAGCCAUGGCGCGGUGAAUACGUUCCCGGGCCUU
rnacentral:rRNA from 1 species